CGUGAAUGAUGAAGGCCUUCGGGUCGUAAAGUUCUUUGAUUGGGGACGAUAAUGACGGUACCCAAAAAACAAGCCACGGCUAACUACGUGCCAGCAGCCGCGGUAAUACGUAGGUGGCGAGCGUUGUCCGGAUUUACUGGGCGUAAAGGAUGCGUAGGUGGAAACUUAAGUGGGAUGUGAAAUCCCCGGGCUCAACCCGGGAACUGCAUUCCAAACUGGGUAUCUAGAGUGCAGGAGAGGAAAGCGGAAUUCCUAGUGUAGCGGUGAAAUGCGUAGAUAUUAGGAAGAACUCCAGUGGCGAAGGCGGCUUUCUGGACUGUAACUGACACUGAGGCAUGAAAGCGUGGGGAGCAAACAGGAUUAGAUACCCUGGUAGUCCACGCCGUAAACGAUGGGUACUAGGUGUAGGGGGUAUCAACUCCCCCUGUGCCGUCGUAAACACACUAAGUACCCCGCCUGGGGAGUACGGUCGCAAGAUUAAAACUCAAAGGAAUUGACGGGGGCCCGCACAAGCAGCGGAGCAUGUGGUUUAAUUCGAGGCAACGCGAAGAACCUUACCUAGACUUGACAUCUCCUGAAUUACCCUUAAUCGGGGAAGUCCUUCGGGGCAGGAAGACAGGUGGUGCGUGGUUGUCGUCAGCUCGUGUCGUGAGAUGUUGGGUUAAGUCCCGCAACGAGCGCAACCCUUAUUGUCAGUUGCUACCAUUUAGUUGAGCACUCUGGCGAGACUGCCCGGGUUAACCGGGAGGAAGGUGGGGAUGACGUCAAAUCAUCAUGCCCCUUACGUCUAGGGCUACACACGUGCUACAAUGGCAGGUACAAAGAGAAGCGAUCCCGCGAGGAGGAGCAAAUCUCAUAAAACCUGCCCCAGUUCAGAUUGCAGGCUGAGACUCGCCUGCAUGAAGUUGGAGUUGCUAGUAAUCGCGAAUCAGCAUGUCGCGGUGAAUACGUUCCCGGGCCUUGUACACACCGCCCGUCACACCAUGAGAGUUGGCAAUACCCGAAGUCCGUGAGGUAACUAGUAAUAGAGCCAGCGGCCGAAGGUAGGGUCAGCGAUUGGGGUG
rnacentral:rRNA from 1 species